rfam:Schistocephalus solidus strain NST_G2 genome assembly, scaffold: SSLN_scaffold0002580
GCAAUGGCCCUCUUCAGGGCCACUACCUUUGAUUGCUAUGUCUUUU